GAUGAACGCUGGCGGCGUGCCUAACACAUGCAAGUCGAGCGAACCCUUCGGGGUGAGCGGCGGACGGGUGAGUAACGCGUGGGUAACCUGCCCUGUACACACGGAUAACAUACCGAAAGGUAUGCUAAUACGAGAUAAUAUGUAAUGAUCGCAUGGUCGAUACAUCAAAGCUCCGGCGGUACAGGAUGGACCCGCGUCUGAUUAGCUAGUUGGUGAGGUAAUGGCUCACCAAGGCGACGAUCAGUAGCCGACCUGAGAGGGUGAUCGGCCACAUUGGAACUGAGACACGGUCCAAACUCCUACGGGAGGCAGCAGUGGGGAAUAUUGCACAAUGGGCGAAAGCCUGAUGCAGCAACGCCGCGUGAGCGAUGAAGGCCUUCGGGUCGUAAAGCUCUUUUA
rnacentral:rRNA from 1 species